AUUGAACGCUGGCGGAAUGCUUUACACAUGCAAGUCGAACGGCAGCACGGACUUCGGUCUGGUGGCGAGUGGCGAACGGGUGAGUAAUGUAUCGGAACGUGCCCAGUCGUGGGGGAUAACGUAGUGAAAAUUACGCUAAUACCGCAUACGAUCUAUGGAUGAAAGCGGGGGAUCGCAAGACCUCGCGCGAUUGGAGCGGCCGAUAGCAGAUUAGGUAGUUGGAGGGGUAAAGGCCCACCAAGCCAACGAUCUGUAGCUGGUCUGAGAGGACGACCAGCCACACUGGAACUGAGACACGGUCCAGACUCCUACGGGAGGCAGCAGUGGGGAAUUUUGGACAAUGGGCGAAAGCCUGAUCCGGCCAUUCCGCGUGCAGGGUGAAGGCCCUCGGGUUGUAAACUGCUUUUGUACAGAACGAAAAGGUUUCUACUAAUACUAGGAGCUCAUGACGGUACUGUAAGAAUAAGCACCGGCUAACUACGUGCCAGCAGCCGCGGUAA
rnacentral:rRNA from 1 species